UAAGGUACUUGAAUUACAUAACCUGGUGAAUGGUCUGGGAGCACCUCAUUUUGCAAACUGUAUCAACACUCCAAACUAGAUGUGCAGCACUGCAGAACCUUCUAUGAGUGAAAAUGGCGGACAUGAUC
rnacentral:lncRNA from 1 species